GGAAUAGAAGGUGCUCAAUUGUUGUUUUUGCACCAAAGAGAAUGUGCUUUAGCUCGGGUUCGGUUCAAACAAGGAUAAAGGUAAGGUUUUCGCUUUGAGCUCGCGUAUUCAUGAAAGAUGAUGCAUGGGAAAAUAAUACACGUUGAUUUUGAUGUAUUUUGAUACAAAAAGUUUUUAUUUGGAUGUGUUCAUAAACCUGUAACGUGUAGUCGCCUUCAUAACUUGAUUUAGGGUUUCACGAAUAAACUAGUAAUUUCUCGCACCAUAAUGCCUAUGCAAAUAGUUUAGAUUUCACAUGUUAGUUCUCGAAUGACUUGUUUAGCAUUAUAGUUUUUGCAUAGCAGUUCUCGUACGAUAGAUUUCGCAUGAAUGGUUUUCGCAUAUAUAGUUUUCAUGCGAUAGUCUUUGCAUGAUCAUGCAUACAAAAACUUAAGUUUUUGCAUAAGCAUAUAGCGCGAAAACUCUAAGGAUGACCUAUUCGAGAGUUGACCCUUUUGGCCACUCAUGUUAUGCGAAAUGUGACUAUUUCAUGAAUCUUUGAACAUAUUUGACUUAGUAUUCCAGGGCUCAGGAUAUCCAACAUAUAGGGUAUUGAAGCUUAAAUUCCAUAGGUGAGUUUCUUGGCCCUUCUUCAAAAUAAAUAUGGGAUGAUGUGCAUACUUGGUAAAUAAUGAUAAGAAAUGAAUAAAUGUUAAAGAAACGUAAUGGUUAAUGAAAUGAAAUAGUUAUGGCUUCUAGGCACAACGUUAUCAAGAAACAUUUUCAGUUAAUUAAUUAAUGUAAUGAAAGAUAAAGCUAAAGUAAAGAUGAAGGGAAAAGGCAGUUACCUCCGGGGCUACUACAUCUUACUCACAAUCCAUGUUUCAUGAACUUAGCACGUUGUGAGCACACGAUAUGGUGAUUACCUGCGGUCCCACUAAGUCUUACUAAAUAGUGAGAAUAUGAUAGCGCAAUUACCUCUGGGGCUACCAAGUCUUACUUCGUUGUGAGCACUUGAUAGGUAAGUGACCUACAGGGCUAUUGAUACUCGUAAAGAAUUACAAUUAAAAGAGUGAUAUGGAUUACUGAUGAGGUGAAUGUCACUUAUUACUAAAGAUAAAGAUUUAAGUUUAAAGUACGUAUAUGUAAAUAUGUUCGUGAGUUCCGGAUGA
rnacentral:lncRNA from 1 species